rnacentral:rRNA from 1 species
GACGAACGCUGGCGGCGUGCUUAACACAUGCAAGUCGAGCGAUGAAGCACCUUCGGGUGUGAAUUAGCGGCGAACGGGUGAGGAACACGUGAGAAAUCUGCUUUCAACUCUGGGAUAACUCCGGGAAACCGGGGCUAAUACCGGAUAUGAGCCUUCUUCGCAUGAAGAGGGCUGGAAAGUUUUUCGGUUGAAGAUGAUCUCGCGGCCUAUCAGCUUGUUGGUGAGGUAAUGGCUCACCAAGGCGACGACGGGUAGCCGGCCUGAGAGGGCGACCGGCCACACUGGGACUGAGACACGGCCCAGACUCCUACGGGAGGCAGCAGUGGGGAAUAUUGCGCAAUGGACGAAAGUCUGACGCAGCGACGCCGCGUGAGGGAUGAAGGCCUUCGGGUUGUAAACCUCUUUCAGUAGGGAAGAAGCGAAAGUGACGGUACCUACAGAAGAAGCACCGGCUAACUGUGUGCCAGCCGCCGCCGUAACAC